rnacentral:lncRNA from 1 species
GACUCGAACAGACAUGCGAGACCUCUACCAACUGAAGGUUUCGUGAGCGCACUCCUUUGCCAAGAUCUUGGUGAAUAGUCUUUCACUGUGCAAUUUUAUCUUAGAAAUUGUUUUACGUUUGAUCAUGAUUGUGCUUGGCUGGAUGUUUUUUGUUGGACUUGUGUGUUACAUGGGCACGUUUCCAGAGUUGAUGCCUCCAACUCUGAAGUGGCAGGAGAGGUGGCCUGUUCAGGAGAGCAAAACACAACUGAGGAGGCGGGCUUUAGGUGAAGAUCUGCUGCAGAUUUCUGUGAAUGCAUUAGCCCAAAGCAGUCAGAACUUUGUGGCAGUCCUGACCAGACCACUUAAACUAUUCUGUGCCUCACUUUCUCCAGCUGCGAAAUGAGUAAACAGACAGCCCAUCUUCCUUCUCUUCCCUUCUCAGGAAAGUUGUAAAUAGGCUCACCCUACAUGUUAAGAGUUUAACUGUACCAUUUUAUAAAAUGAAAGAUUUCUUUUUUGAACAGCCUAACAAUAGCAUAUUAAGUUAUUUGCUCAUGGCAUACCUAGCCAGCUAAUUCUCUUAAUGAAUCCAGGCUUUUUUUCUUUUGCAUAGCAUCUGAUUGCACAAAGCCAAUAGUUAAACAUUUUGGCAGGUGACGAGUUAAUGAGUAUACUGCCAGCUAGGUCCAAAUCACAGACACACCAGAGCACAGGGCCCUUUUGAUAAAUUUUCUUUAACCCAACGCAUCUAGCACCCUGGCCAACCAUCCCAUAGGUGCUCAUGCUGACUGGGUUGCCAAGGUUACAGGAGCUGAUAUCAUAAUUGGUGUCUGAGCUCUGCCCCCCUAAAUGGCCAUGAGGAGCCACUUCAAUUCAGACUAGGCCACGAAGCUCCUUAGUGAGGAGCUGCCAUGCUGGGCCAUCCACCAUCUGGAUUCCUACGACUCAGGGAAUAGAACACUGCACCUUCCAGAAGCACUUGUUUCUUCGUGGGUACACCACCAGCUGAGAAAGAAGCCUCAUGAUGAUUGUUGUCUUAUGGAUGCUUCUCAUUGCAGGAACCAUGUGGAAGGGAUAUAAAUAUCCCCCAGGAGGGACUCCAGUGGAAGUAAGCAAGGAUGAUCCUGGUGAAGUAAUGCAGCUGUGAAGCUCACCUGACCAGCUGUACAGUUCCUGUUGUUGGUUUCACAUAAAGUAAUUGCACAUUAUUUUGUCAUAUUUUAUGUUAAGAAGUUACCGCACUUUUUUUUUUUUUUUUUUUUUUUUUUUGAGACAGAGUCUCGCUGUGUCGCCCAGGCUGGAGUGCAGUGGCGCGAUCUCGGCUCACUGCAAGCUCCGCCUCCCGGGUUCAUGCCAUUCCCCUGCCUCAGCCUCCAGAGUAGCUGGGACUACAGGCGCCUGCCACCACGCCUGGCUAUUUUUUUGUGUUUUUAGUAGAGACGGGGUUUCACCGUGUUAUCCAGGAUGGUCUCGAUCUCCUGACCUCAUGAUCUGCCCGCCUCGGCCUCCCAAAGUGCUGGGAUUACAGGCGUGAGCCAAUGUGCCCGGCAUUACCGCAUUUUUUAAGAUGAAUGAAGACUUAGUAUUCUGUUAGCUUGUAACAGAGAGACAGAGGGUGGGGAAGUAGUUGAGUGGAUGGGAGACAAUUGGGUCCUUCUGCUACAUGGUCUCUAAGACUGGCAUUAAGAUACCUAGUUUUGCCUGGCGCGAUGGCUCACACGUGUGAUCUCAGCACUUUGGGAGGCCAACACAGGUGGAUCAUCUAGGGUCAGGAGUUCAAGACCAGCCUUGCCAACAUGGUGAAACCCCGUCUCUACUAAAAAUACAAAAAAUUAGCUAGGGCGUGGUGUGGUGGCACGUCUGUAGUCCCAGCUACUCGGGAGGCAGUGGUUGCAGUGAGCUGAGAUCGGCCACUGCACUCCAGCCUGGGUGACAGAGUGAGACUCAGUCUCAAAAGAAAAAAAAAAAAGAACCCUAAGCUUAUACCAUGUGGGGUAAGAAACUCAUUUUUAAUAUUAGGGUUAAAUACUGAAGUAUAAUUAUCCUAAUCCUUAAAAUAACCUUCUGAAGCUAUUAGCCUCAUCUUACAAAAUGGCAAAAAUGAAGUUGAGGGGCAUGUUUAUCUUGCCAACACACACAGCCCUGGGCUGCAGAGUCAAGAUUAAGAUCCAGGCCUUCUCCCUUCACACUUUCAUGUGCCAAGGAAAAGAGCCAAACAAGAGACUGUGGGAUAUCCAAGAUCUUGCUGUUUAAAUGUCUCCCUCACCUGAAAACCCAAGAAGUUAGGCCAGGCGUGGUGGCUCACACCUGUAAUCCCAGCACUUUGGGAGGCCGAGGCAGGCGGAUCACUUGAGGUCAGGAGUUCGAGACCCGCUUGGCCAACAUGGUGAAACCCCGUAUCUACUAAAAAUACAAAAAUUAGCCAGGUGUGGUGGUGGGCACCAGUAAUCCUAGCUACUUGGGAGGCUGAGGCAGAAUUGCUUGAACCCGGGAGGUGGGGGUUACAGUGAGCCGAGAUUGCACCACUGCACUCCAGCCUGGGUGACAAAGCAAGACCUUGUCUCAAAAAGAAAAAAAAAAAGAGAAAAGAAAACCCAGGAAGUUGCCUGAUAAUUCUUUUUCAUGACUACUGAAAAGAUGGGAGCCUGAGAGAGACCUAACAGGAGUAAAUACUUUAAAAACAAAUUGUAUGGAACUGUACCCAUUCUGAGGAUGACUGAUACAGUUCCAGUAUUCAAAAGAAGUAUACCUUUUCCAGCAAAGCAGAUCUUUUGUUUACAUAGAAAACAUUUUGUUAUUUGGGAAGUUUGCUUAACUAUUUGUAAGUGGCUCUUUGCAAUUAAUGGAUUACCUUUUUUUAAUGGAAAGAAAAUAAAUUCAAAAUCCAUAAGCAAAACUUUAGUAAUUUCUGACUCUAGGAUACUAGCAUCUUCUAUUUCUUAUGUGAUUUAGACUCAACAUUUUCCAGUGAGUUAAGUACUUACAUCCUCUGGCUGUAUAGCUCUGCCCAUUUGCCUCGUAAUACAUUUUUUUUUGAGACAGUCUCGUUCUGUCACCCAGGAUAGAGUGCAGUGGUGCAAUCUCGGCUCACUGCAACCUCCACCUCCCAGGUUUAAGUGAUUCUUAUACCUCAGCCCCCUGAGUAGCAGGGAUUACAACGCACGCCACAUUUUUGUAUUUUUAGUAGAGACGGAGUUUUGCCAUGUUGGCCAGGCUGGUCUCGAACUCCCAGCCUCAAGUGAUCCACCUGCUUCUACCUCCCAAAGUGCUGGGAUUACAGGUGUGAGCCACUGUGCCCAGCCUGCCUCAUAUACAUUUCUAAGGACUCCUCUUCUCAGCCAUCUCAAGCUGCUUUUAUCAUAAGAGAUAGGACCCUGCUCAUUUUGACAAGAGGAACCAUAUACCCAGCUGUGUCCUCCCUCCAUUUGAGUAAACUUCCAAAACUUGAGCCACUAAAAGAUUCCAUUGCUCUGACCACCUAACAGUUCUCCCAACAUGGGUCAGAGAGCAGAACAGUUCUCUAAGCUGGUAGGGGGAGAGAAGCUCUAUCAUGUUAGAGCAGACAUGAAUGUGUAAGGGAGAAUAAGCAGAGGAGUGUGUGCAAUAGGCAAACCAUAUCUCUGAAGUGUGAUGAGUAUACCGAGGUUUCUAGCUGGAAAAAUGUUCAGGGUGAUGAGAUAAAGAAUAUCUCAAAGUUUUAAUCAAUAAAUGCAAACCAG